rnacentral:rRNA from 1 species
GGGGGGGGGUGGGGGGGGGGCUAGGACGUGCAGGUCGAGCGGGUGAGGGGAGCUUGCUCCUGGAGUCAGCGGCGGACGGGUGAGUAAUGCCUAGGAAUCUGCCUGGUAGUGGGGGAUAACGUCCGGAAACGGGCGCUAAUACCGCAUACGUCCUGAGGGGGAAAGUGGGGGAUCUUCGGACCUCACGCUAUCAGAUGAGCCUAGGUCGGAUUAGCUAGUUGGUGGGGUAAAGGCAUACCAAGGCGACGAUCCGUAACUGGUCUGAGAGGAUGAUCAGUCACCCUGGAACUGAGACACGGUCCAGACUCCUACGGGAGGCAGCAGUGGGGAAUAUUGGACAAUGGGCGAAAGCCUGAUCCAGCCAUGCCGCGUGUGUGAAGAAGGUCUUCGGAUUGUAAAGCACUUUAAGUUGGGAGGAAGGGCAGUAAGUUAAUACCUUGCUGUUUUGACGUUACCAACAGAAUAAGCACCGGCUAACUUCGUG